UGCAGUCCACUCCCUUCAAUCCACAUACGAUUGACCACCUCUAGUUCAGUCUCCAGCAAGGCUGCUGGGAUGAGGAGGAGCUGGGCAAACACCUGUGGGAGGCUGGCCAAGAAGCUGAAGUUGUGGGGCUCCUUCUGGCUGUAAGGGAGACUCCUUGGGCCUUGAGAAUGUUCUGCACAGCCCACAGUGCAGAACAGCACUGGGUGUGA
rnacentral:lncRNA from 1 species